rnacentral:rRNA from 1 species
GCGUAAGCGUCGCAGGCGGUUUGUUAGUCAGAUGUGAAAUCCCCGGGCUCAACCUGGGAACUGCAUUUGAGACUGGCUAGCUAGAGUGUGGUAGAGGGUGGUGGAAUUCCAGGUGUAGCGGUGAAAUGCGUAGAUAUCUGAAGGAAUACCGAUGGCGAAGGCAGCCCCCUGGGUCAACACUGACGCUCAUGUACGAAAGCGUGGGGAGCAAACAGGAUUAGAUACCCUGGUAGUCCACGCCGUAAACGAUGUCUACUAGAUGUU